UACGUAGGGUGCGAGCGUUGUCCGGAAUUAUUGGGCGUAAAGGGCUCGUAGGCGGUUUGUCGCGUCGGGAGUGAAAUCCACUGGCUUAACUGGUGGCUUGCUUUCGAUACGGGCAGACUGGAGGUAUGCAGGGGAGAACGGAAUUCCUGGUGUAGCGGUGAAAUGCGCAGAUAUCGGGAGGAACACCAACGGCGAAGGCAGCACUCUGGGCUGGAACUGACGCUGAGGAGCGAAAGCGUGGGUAGCAAACAGG
rnacentral:rRNA from 1 species